rnacentral:rRNA from 1 species
GCGAGGUGGAGCAAAUCCCUAAAAGCCAUCCCAGUUCGGAUUGCAGGCUGCAACCCGCCUGUAUGAAGUUGGAAUCGCUAGUAAUCGCGGAUCAGCAUGCCGCGGUGAAUACGUUCCCGGGCCUUGUACACACCGCCCGUCACACCAUGAGAGUCGGGAACACCCGAAGUCCGUAGCCUAACCGCAAGGGGGGCGCGGCCGAAGGUGGGUUCGAUAAUUGGGGUGAAGUCGUAACAAGGUACC